rnacentral:rRNA from 1 species
CCUACGGGAGGCUGCAGUGGGGAAUAUUGGACAAUGGGCGAAAGCCUGAUCCAGCCAUGCCGCGUGUGUGAAGAAGGCCUUCGGGUUGUAAAGCACUUUCAGUGGGGAAGAAAGCCUUGGGGCUAAUACCCUCGAGGAAGGACAUCACCCACAGAAGAAGCACCGGCUAACUCCGUGCCAGCAGCCGCGGUAAUACGGAGGGUGCGAGCGUUAAUCGGAAUUACUGGGCGUAAAGCGCGCGUAGGCGGUCUGAUAAGCCGGUUGUGAAAGCCCCGGGCGCAACCUGGGAACGGCAUCCGGAACUGUCAGGCUAGAGUGCAGGAGAGGAAGGUAGAAUUCCCGGUGUAGCGGUGAAAUGCGUAGAGAUCGGGAGGAAUACCAGUGGCGAAGGCGGCCUUCUGGACUGACACUGACGCUGAGGUGCGAAAGCGUGGGUAGCAAACAGGAUUAGAUACCCGAGUAGUC